GUGUCAGCAGCCGCGGUAAUACAGAGGCCUCAAGCGUUGUUCGGAUUCAUUGGGCGUAAAGGGUGCGUAGGUGGCUUGUUAAGUUGAAGGUGAAAUCUCGGGGCUCAACUCCGAAACUGCCUUCAAUACUGGCGAGCUCGAGGAUUGUAGAGGAGAAUGGAAUUCACGGUGUAGCAGUGAAAUGCGUAGAUAUCGUGAGGAAGACCAGUGGCGAAGGCGAUUCUCUGGGCAAUUCCUGACACUGAGGCACGAAGGCCAGGGGAGCAAACGGGAUUAGAAACCCCUGUAGUCC
rnacentral:rRNA from 1 species